rnacentral:rRNA from 1 species
AUAUCAAUAAGCGGAGGAAAAGAAACCAACAGGGAUUGCCCUAGUAACGGCGAGUGAAGCGGCAACAGCUCAAAUUUGAAAUCUGGCUUCGGCCCGAGUUGUAAUUUGCAGAGGAUGUUUAUGGUGCGGUACCUUCCGAGUUCCCUGGAACGGGACGCCACAGAGGGUGAGAGCCCCGUCUGGAUGGAUACCAAACCUGUGUUAAACUCCUUCAACGAGUCGAGUAGUUUGGGAAUGCUGCUCUAAAUGGGAGGUAAAUCUCUUCUAAAGCUAAAUAUUGGCCAGAGACCGAUAGCGCACAAGUAGAGUGAUCGAAAGAUGAAAAGCACCUUGAAAAGGGGGUUAAACAGUAC